CCUACGGGAGGCAGCAGUGAGGAAUAUUGAGCAAUGGGCGAAAGCCUGACUCAGCAACGCCGCGUGGGCGAUGAAGGCCUUCGGGUCGUAAAGCCCUUUUCUGAGGGAAGAGGAAGGACGGUACCUCAGGAAUAAGUCACGGCUAACUACGUGCCAGCAGCCGCGGUAAUACGUAGGUGGCCAGCGUUAUCCGGAAUUACUGGGCGUAAAGCGCGUGUAGGUGGUUCCGUUAGUCGGACGUGAAAUCUCCUGGCUUAACUGGGAGGGGCCGUUCGAUACUGCGGAUCUUGAGGUCGGGAGAGGGACGUGGAAUUCCCGGUGUAGUGGUGGAAUGCGUAGAUAUCGGGAGGAACACCAGUGGCGAAGGCGGCGUCCUGGCCCGCACCUGACACUCAGACGCGAAAGCGUGGGGAGCGAACGGGAUUAGAUACCCUGGUAGUCCACGCCCUAAACGAUGCUCACUAGGUGUUGGGGAAGCGAUUCCUUGGUACCGUAGCUAACGCGUGAAGUGAGCCGCCUGGGGAGUACGGCCGCAAGGUUAAAACUCAAAGGAAUUGACGG
rnacentral:rRNA from 1 species